CUCAGUAACACGUGGAUAAUCUGCCCUUAGGUGGAGGAUAACCUCGGGAAACUGAGAAUAAUACUCCAUAGAUCUAGGAUGCUGGAAUGCACUUAGAUUGAAAGUUCCGACGCCUAAGGAUGAGUCUGCGGACUAUCAGGUAGUAGUCAGGGUAAAGGCCUGACUAGCCUACGACGGAUACGGGUUGUGAGAGCAAUAACCCGGAGACGAUAUCUGAGACACGAUAUCGGGCCCUACGGGGCGCAGCAGGCGCGAAACCUUCACAAUGUGCGAAAGCACGAUGAGGGGAUCCCAAGUGCUUGCUCGUAAGAGUAAGCUGUUUUUAUGUCUAAAACGCAUAGAGAGUAAGGGCUGGGUAAGACGGGUGCCAGCCGCCGCGGUAAUACCUGCAGCUCAAGUGGUGACCACUAUUAUUGGGCCUAAAACGUUCGUAGCCGGUUUGGUAAAUGCCUGGGUAAAUCGUGUAGCUUAACUAUACGAAUUCCGGGUAGACUGCCAAACUUGAGACCGGGAGAAGCUAGAGGUACUCCUGGGGUAGAGGUGAAAUUCUGUAAUCCUGGGGGGACCACCAGUGGCGAAGGCGUCUAGCUAGAACGGGUUUGACGGUGAGGAACGAAGCCCUGGGGCGCAAACCGGAUUAGAUACCCGGGUAGUCCAGGGUGUAAACGCUGCUUGCUUGAUGUUAGUUGGGCUCCGAGCCCAAUUAGUGUCGGAGAGAAGUUGUUAAGCAAGCUGCCUGGGAAGUACGAUCGCAAGAUUGAAACUAAAG
rnacentral:rRNA from 1 species